rnacentral:rRNA from 1 species
UACGUAGGGCGCAAGCGUUGUCCGGAAUUAUUGGGCGUAAAGAGCUCGUAGGCGGCUUGUCACGUCGGUUGUGAAAGCCCGGGGCUUAACCCCGGGUCUGCAGUCGAUACGGGCAGGCUAGAGUGUGGUAGGGGAGAUCGGAAUUCCUGGUGUAGCGGUGAAAUGCGCAGAUAUCAGGAGGAACACCGGUGGCGAAGGCGGCUCUCUGGGCCUUACCUGACGCUGAGGAGCGAAAGCGUGGGUAGCGAACAGG